UUGGCAGACCAAACGGUCGCUGGCGAUUUUUUUGGUUGUUGGCAUGAAUGAUUGUAAGCAUGAAUGAUUGUUAACAUGAAAAGUCGCGGGAGGAAAGUCCGAACUACACAGGGCAGAGUGCCAGCUAACGGCUGGGCAGAGUAAUCUGACGACAAGUGCAACAGAGAAUAGACCGCCACGUUGCUUAAUUGCUUUAAAGCAGCAGGGUAAGGGUGAAACGGUAGGGUAAGAGCCUACCGCAUGACUGGUAACAGAUCAUGGCAAGGUAAACUCCACUCGUAGCAAGACCAAAUAGGUGUUCAAUGGGUUGCCCGCUUAAGAACACGGGUAGGUUGCUUGAGCAUACUGGUAACGGUAUGCCUAGAUGAAUGACCGUUCACGACAGAAUUCGGCUUAUCGGUCUGCCAAUUUU
rnacentral:RNase_P_RNA from 2 species